rnacentral:rRNA from 1 species
CAGUAGCCACGGGAAUACGUAGGUGGCAAGCGUUGUCCGGAUUUAUUGGGCGUAAAGCGAGCGCAGGCGGUUCCUUAAGUCUGAUGUGAAAGCCCCCGGCUCAACCGGGGAGGGUCAUUGGAAACUGGGGAACUUGAGUGCAGAAGAGGAGAGUAGAAUUCCAUGUGUAGCGGUGAAAUGCGUAGAUAUAUGGAGGAACACCAGUGGCGAAGGCGACCCUCUGGUCUGUAACUGACGCUGAGGCUCGAAAGCGUGGGUAGCAAACAGGAUUAGAUACCCGCGUAGUCCCUGUCUCUUAUAU